CUAUGAUGGUGCUGACAUCAUGUCUUGAAAUUUAAUGGAGUCAAACAGAAAUAAGAAUUAAAUUUCUACGUUCAAUUUUUACUCAUUAUAUGGUUUAUAGAGUAAAUCUUUUGGUUGCAGAUAUGUGCAAAAUGUUUAAAUAAGCACUACUACAGAUGCAUAUUUGAAGCAAUGUGUCAAGACACAACAAAAGCUGAAGAUUAUUACAAAUUCAAAAUAUAUUAUAAAAUCUUAGAUUCAUUUAAACAAAAUUUAAGAAGGCAAUUUUCCAUAGAGAAUAUGCUUCUAACUGUUGAGGUUGAUAAAUUUAUUGAACUAAAUUAUGGUUUACCAGGUUUAAACAUUUACCAAGAUAGCUUUAAAUCAGAAAUGAUGGUGGCUAAAAACUGCCUUGCUAACCUAGAAAAAGAGAUUGAAGAUUUCAAAAUGAAUAAUACCCUUUAAGUAUUGAUUAAUUCUUAUAAAAUGCUCCAAUUUGUUAAGACAUUUCCAGUUAGUUUUGCUACAUUCAAGAGAAGUUUCUAAGCAAUGAAAAAAAUAAAAAUGAAAUAGUAAAAAUAUGCAAUGUGUUACAAUAUUUCAUACAUAAAUUUGUAGUAAGAGGUGUGGAGGCAAAGGCUAUAUGACUGUCUGCAGCUGAAAAUUUAAGCUUUCCUAAUAUUUAAUAAGAUCUCCGCUUAUGAACAGUCAUGCACUAGGAAUAUUAAAUAUGACAUCAUUUAUGAUUUAGUAACUGAUUAAUUUAUGAAAAAAAAGGGAUUAAAUUCUUUUGGUAACGUUAUUGUAAAAUACAAUGUAUGCAAAAAGUUUAUUUUGUGUAUUAGAUUUUUUACUAUUUUAAACUUUUAUUCAUAUUUGCCCCAUUACAUAUAUCACAAUAAGUUGGGUAUGCUUAAUGCAGAGAAUGACGAACAAUCAAAGUUCCACUGUUUCUAGAAAAUAAAAUGAAAACUAAAGUAAUAACUAUCCUUUAUUGAUACAUGUUAUGUCUAUUAGGUAUGGAUUUAAAAAUGUAUAUUCAAUAUUAUUUUAAUAGAUUUUUGCAAACCAGGAUGGUACCCAAAA